AUUCGGUGUGAAUUAAAAAUAAUUAAAUAAAACACUAUAAGCAUUUAAAAUGCUUUGUGAUAAACGAUGUUUUUUGUUUGAUUACCUGGCGCAUAGACAAACAAAUCUGAUGGUUUUCCAAUACGGGAACAGGCAACAUACAAUUGACCAUGUGAGAAACAUGGGUUUUCCAAAUUAAUACCACAAACACUUAAUGAUUGCCCCUGGGACUUGUUUAUGGUCAUAGCAAAAGCAAGCCGCACUGGAAACUGUAGUCGUUUAAACUCAAAUGGCACAUCAGUCGGAAUCAUUGGGAUGCGCGGUAUGAGAACAUCUUCUCCUUUAUACUUUCCUUUCAAUAUAGUUGCUUCUAUCACGUU